rnacentral:rRNA from 1 species
GACGAACGCUGGCGGCGUGCUUAACACAUGCAAGUCGAGCGGAGCGGCGGACGGGUGAGUAAUGCCUAGGUAUCUGCCUGGUCGUGGGGGAUAACGUCCGGAAACGGGAGCUAAUACCGCAUACUAUCAGAUGAGCCUGGGUCGGAUUAGCUAGUUGGUGGGGUAAAGGCCUACCAAGGCGACGAUCCGUAACUGGUCUGAGAGGAUGAUCAGUCACACUGGAACUGAGACACGGCCCAGACUCCUACGGGAGGCAGCAGUGGGGAAUAUUGGACAAUGGGCGAAAGCCUGAUCCAGCCAUGCCGCGUGUGUGAAGAAGGUCUUCGGAUUGUAAAGCACUUUAAGUUGGGAGGCGUUACCAACAGAAUAAGCACCGGCUAACUUCGUGCCAGCAGCCGCGGUAAUUC